GAUGAACGCUGGCGGCGUGCCUAAUACAUGCAAGUCGAGCGAACAGAUGAGGAGCUUGCUCCUCUGACGUUAGCGGCGGACGGGUGAGUAACACGUGGAUAACCUACCUAUAAGACUGGGAUAACUUCGGGAAACCGGAGCUAAUACCGGAUAAUAUAUUGAACCGCAUGGUUCAAUAGUGAAAGACGGUUUUGCUGUCACUUAUAGAUGGAUCCGCGCCGCAUUAGCUAGUUGGUAAGGUAACGGCUUACCAAGGCAACGAUGCGUAGCCGACCUGAGAGGGUGAUCGGCCACACUGGAACUGAGACACGGUCAAGACUCCUACGGGAGGCAGCAGUAGGGAAUCUUCCGCAAUGGGCGAAAGCCUGACGGAGCAACACCGCGUGAGUGAUGAAGGUCUUCGGAUCGUAAAACUCUGUUAUUAGGGAAGAACAAAUGUGUAAGUAACUAUGCACGUCUUGACGGUACCUAAUCAGAAAGCCACGGCUAACUACGUG
rnacentral:rRNA from 1 species